CCAUACUCUCAUGUCGUGUACAUAAUUUGUAAUCAAUAUCAUCUGAGUAUUCUUCUUAUAGCCAUACCAAAAAGACACAACAGCUUAAAGACUCUUUAACUACUGACGCUCACCUUUUCCGUACAGGUAGGAUGACGAACAUCGUCACUUUUGGAGCACAAAUGCUUUUAUGUAUAUAUAACCAAACUGCUGAAACUUUCACAGUGUUGUAUAUAUUGAACUGAUCUCCAGAUGUUGAAUCCUGCUAAUGAUGUAAUAUAUAAGUUUGUACAAACCUAUGAACAUGUCGGUUGACUAUGCAACUACCGUAAUCGCUAUAAUUAUCACCUCUAGACAAUGUGCAACUCUUUCAAACAUUGAUCUGGUUUCCUUUGUUUUUGCCCUUAUAUCCUAAUUUACUCUCUGUCAAUCAUACAAUUAUCAUACAUUAUACGUUCUCCUUGGAUUUGAAGGUUCAUUAAUGGAGUGUUUGGUUUGAGGAAUGAUAUAGUCCAUUAUCUUCUCACUCCUCACUUUUUUGUUUGGUUUGUGGUAUGGAGUGAGUUAGUCCAUCACCACCUCAUUCCUCAUAGUUAGUUUUUAGUACUAAUAUGUGGAAUGGAGUCAUCCCACCAAAUUUGAGGAAUGGACCUAUGAUGCACCACUUUAUUUUGGAUAUAGUGAUUCAUCAAACCAAACACCUCAUAAGUAUAUCCUUGAGCCAAAAUAGAAAAAAAAUCAUAGAAGAGCUCUUUGGUAAAUACCUUCGCUUUUGGUAUCCAGAGAAAACCCUCCGAGUAGUGUGCAACUGUGCAUUAAUGUGAAGCUUGAUGACUUGGACUGAC
rnacentral:lncRNA from 1 species